rnacentral:tRNA from 1 species
GGGGGAUUAGCUCAGCUGGCUAGAGCGCCUGCCUUGCACGCACGAGGUCAUCGGUUCGACUCCGAUAUUCUCCA